GUCCAGGAGCGGGAAUCGACCCACAACCUUCUGCUUACCGGGCAGGUGCCAUGUCCACUAGGCUAUCCUGGA
rnacentral:tRNA from 1 species